UGAACCUGCACCGUCGGUCGCUUGCAUGCCGGAGUUCAUUAAAUGUCUUUAAUACUGCUCAGGUAGACUGUUUCAGGAGAAGGAGCUGACCUCGGAUCAGAUGACCGUAUACAGAAAGAACCGUUGGAAACCUAGUGAUCAGAGCAGUCUGACGCCUGAGCUUCUGUCUCACAGGGAUUUACUUCUACCCCCUCCUCAGUACUUUUCACGACCGCAAGUGACAAGAGUGGACCAAAAUGGAGCACAGGACGGGCCAAAACCCAACAACAGGAAAACCAGCUGUGAAGACUUUCUUAUGGGCAGUUUUUCUCUGCAGUUCCUGGGGUCAUUCAGUGUGUUGGGACUCGUGAUGCCGCUCCUAGAAGAUGGCAUCAGGAUCCUGAGUGAAAGGAACCCAAGAGGCCCUGGAGCUUCAGCCCUGAUUGACCGGACCAGAGCUACCUAGCGGUGUUAACAACUGGUCUCUGCAGCGUCAGCUGAUUCAAUAAAAAUAAAGACUCAAAGACUGUUGUCUGUUUCUCACAGUGCAAACACGUCAACAUAGUUACACCUGUGGACAGGUGAAGGUAAAGGUGAGGGGCACGUCCUUCAGACCUUGUUGUGUCGACACUGUCACGAACCUGCAAAUAGUUUCAGUCAGAAGAGAUGAGGACGAGAGGACGAUGACGACAAAACGGCUCAGCCGUUGAAUUCAUUUGUGUUUGUUUAGUUUUAUCUUUGAAUUUAAACAUUUUCAC